CUAGUUAACGACCGACACGGCGUAGAGUUGAAGAUCGAAGUGAAAAAAGUGAAAAAUUUCCACUACGACUUCCGUAAUAUCAAAGGGAAAUACGUAAUAUAGGUCACUCCAGAACAACUUCGACUCCACAACUGCACCAUAACGUUCAAAUGCAGAAUAAAAAACACCAGAAAAGACCCCAUUUUCGUCACAAACACAAACUUACUCCACCCUUCACACUACUUCGACAUUAUCCACGACAACUGCUUCGGAGACGACGAAUCCACGUUCAUCAAAAUAGCACCAGGUCAUGUGUACCCGUUCAAAGUAACUUUCACGACGGACGUUUUGUCCUGCGCUAGUUACAAGAUUCCGUUGUCUUGUGAUUUUCAAACCUCUGACAAUAAAGAUAAUUUUACGAUAGUGAGGACAUUCUUGACGAUCAUUGCUGACAACAUUGCAGCUGAAGAGGAAAAAACUAAGAGCCCGUUCACGAGUCAGCCGUGGAAGGACGUUCACACGACUCCUACCACAAAGUCGACACAAUAUAGGGAUAAGUAUCAAGUUCCAGGGAAGCUGAAACGGCUGCUGAACUAUAGGUUGCAAAAGAUUUAGGUCAUGUGUACCCGUUUUUUUUUAAUCGUCG